AGUGAACGCUGGCGGCAGGCCUAACACAUGCAAGUCGAACGGCAGCACAGAGGAGCUUGCUCCUUGGGUGGCGACUGGCGGACGGGGGAGGAGUACAUAGGAAUCUGCCUAUUUGUGGGGGAUAACGUAGGGGAACUUACGCUAAUACCGCAUACGACCUACGCGUGAAAGCGGAGGACCUUCUGGCUUCGCGCAGAUAGAUGAGCCGAUGUCGGAUUAGCUAGUUGGCGGGGUAAAGGCCCACCAAGGCGACGAUCCGUAGCUGGUCUGAGAGGAUGAUCAGCCACACUGGAACUGAGACACGGUCCAGACUCCUACGGGAGGCAGCAGUGGGGAAUAUUGGACAAUGGGCGCAAGCCUGAUCCAGCCAUGCCGCGUGGGUGAAGAGGGCCUUCGGGUUGUAAAGCCCUUUUGUUGGGAAAGAAAAGCAGUCGGUUAAUACCCGAUUGUUCUGACGGUACCCAAAGAAUAAGCACCGGCUAACUUCGUGCCAGCCGCCGCCGUAA
rnacentral:rRNA from 1 species